CCCCCCAACUUCCUCACCGGUCUUCCUGCUUCCCCCACUCUUCUCCCUCUCACCGCACUCCCAUGCCAUCCUCCUCCACGAUUUCUCUAAAUUGGUACAAAGAGAAGGAGGGCUUUGGACUGGACCCCCAGCUGCAGUCCCUGCCACCGUGGGACGGGACUCCUGCUUUAUAUAUAGGACGCAGGUCCUGGAUCAUUCGGGACUAUGACUUCAUGGCUGUACGUGGGUUACACCUCUGAUGAGGUAUCCGUCCUCCACGAUCCCUCAGCAGGGGUUGCCCCGCACACGAGCACAGGAGCCCCAAGGGAGGCGUCCCUCUCACCAUGGACCGCUCUGCUCUUGGAGCCCACGGCCUCAGUACUCAGCACGUCCGCCACAGCACCUCUCAUAGGACUGUGCAGGAAUCGCCUGAGGAUCCUGUUUAAAUGUGGCUUCUGACUCAGCAGGCCUGGAGCUGCUCCUGAGAUUCUGCAUUUCUAACCAGGUCCCAGGAGAUGCUGCUGUGGGUAGUAGCAAGGCCCUCGAGGGUCUGAGUACCAACAAAGGCAAACACGGACCAAAUCUACAUAAGACGAACCUGUGCUGGAAACAAACUGUGCUUCCCCUUGGGACACUGGCUCUGGGGUGGUGAGUGUGGAGUCUGAGCCCAGAGGACAGGGUGAUCCCAAGCACUGCUGUCAGCGAGCAGGACAAGCCUUCUCUGUCAUGGGAAUGUGAACUGCAGACACCCCGAUAAUCCUUCCCUCCAGAGCCUUUUUAAUUAGGCAGAUCAGAUCUACCUUCAGAUUUUUGUAUUUCACUUAAUUUCACUCUUCCUCAUUAAAAAAAAAUGUUCUCUGGAUGAAAUGCCCAAUUAUUACCAGUCCCACAUUGGAUGAAAUGCCCAAUUAUUACCAGUCCCACAUUGGAUGAAAUGCCCAAUUAUUACCAGUCCCACAUUGGAUGAAAUGCCCAAUUAUUACCAGUCCCUCAUUGGAUGAAAUGCCCAAUUAUUACCAGUCCCUCAUUCGCAG